GUUUGAUCCUGGCUCAGAAUCAACGCUGGCGGCGUGCCUAACACAUGCAAGUCGCACGAGAAAGGGGCUUCGGCCCUGAGUACAGUGGCGCACGGGUGAGUAACACGUGAAUAAUCUACCUCCGAGUGGGGAAUAACCUAGAGAAAUCUGGGCUAAUACCGCAUAACACUUACGAGUCAAAGCAGCAAUGCGCUUGGAGAGGAGUUCGCGGCAGAUUAGUUAGUUGGCGGGGUAAUGGCCCACCAAGACGAUGAUCUGUAUCCGGCCUGAGAGGGCGCACGGACACACUGGAACUGAAACACGGUCCAGACUCCUACGGGAGGCAGCAGUGGGGAAUUUUGCGCAAUGGGGGAAACCCUGACGCAGCAACGCCGCGUGGAGGAUGAAAUCCCUUGGGAUGUAAA
rnacentral:rRNA from 1 species